GACGUAGGAGGCGAGCGUUGUCCGGAUUCAUUGGGCGUAAAGAGCACGCAGGCGGUUUGGCAAGUCGGAUGUGAAAACCCGAAGCUCAACUUCGGGCCUGCAUCCGAAACUGCCCGACUAGAGGUAGGUAGGGGGAGAUCGGAAUUCCUGGUGUAGCGGUGAAAUGCGCAGAUAUCAGGAGGAACACCGGUGGCGAAGGGCGGGAUCUCUGGGGCCUUACCUGACGCUCAGGUGCGAAAGCUAGGGGAGCGAACAGG
rnacentral:rRNA from 1 species